rfam:Oryza rufipogon genomic scaffold, chr02
AUACCUUUCUCGGCCUUUUGGCUAAGAUCAAGUGUAGUAUCUGUUCUUAUCAGUUUAAUAUCUGAUAUGUGGGCCAUGUGUCCACUUUGAUAUUAAAUUUAUUUUUUGUGGGGGAGGGCCUAUCACAGUGGCAAGCCACUGGGGCCCUCGCGCGUCGCCCAGGCGUUGCACUGCUGCCCGGGCCUGGCGCACCCCAA